CCUACGGGUGACAGCAGUGAGGAAUAUUGGUCAAUGGGCGAGAGCCUGAACCAGCCAAGUCGCGUGAAGGAUGACGGCCCUACGGGUUGUAAACUUCUUUUGUCAGGGAGCAAGUCGGGCCACGCGUGGGCUUAUCGAGAGGACCUGAAGAAAAAGCACCGGCUAACCCCGUGCCAGCAGCCGCGGUAAUACGGAGGAUGCGAGCGUUAUCCGGAUUUAUUGGGUUUAAAGGGUGCGUAGGCGGAAUAUCAAGUCAGCGGUAAAACUUCGGGGCUCAACCCCGUCGUGCCGUUGAAACUGGUGUUCUUGAGUGGGCGAGAAGUAUGCGGAAUGCGUGGUGUAGCGGUGAAAUGCAUAGAUAUCACGCAGAACUCCGAUUGCGAAGGCAGCAUACCGGCGCGCAACUGACGCUGAGGCACGAAAGCGUGGGUAUCGAACAGGAUUAGAUACCCGGGUAGUC
rnacentral:rRNA from 1 species